CCUACGGGAGGCAGCAGUGGGGAAUUUUGGACAAUGGGCGCAAGCCUGAUCCAGCAAUGCCGCGUGAGUGAAGAAGGCCUUCGGGUUGUAAAGCUCUUUUGUCAGGGAAGAAACGGUGGUUCCUAAUACGAACUACUAAUGACGGUACCUGAAGAAUAAGCACCGGCUAACUACGUGCCAGCAGCCGCGGUAAUACGUAGGGUGCAAGCGUUAAUCGGAAUUACUGGGCGUAAAGCGUGCGCAGGCGGUUAUAUAAGUCAGAUGUGAAAUCCCCGGGCUCAACCUGGGAACUGCAUUUGAGACUGUAUGGCUAGAGUGUGUCAGAGGGGGGUAGAAUUCCACGUGUAGCAGUGAAAUGCGUAGAUAUGUGGAGGAAUACCGAUGGCGAAGGCAGCCCCCUGGGAUAACACUGACGCUCAUGCACGAAAGCGUGGGGAGCAAACAGGAUUAGAUACCCUGGUAGUCCACGCCCUAAACGAUGUCUACUAGUUGUCGGGACUUAAUUGUCUUGGUAACGCAGCUAACGCGUGAAGUAGACCGCCUGGGGAGUACGGUCGCAAGAUUAAAACNCAAAUGAAAUUGACG
rnacentral:rRNA from 1 species